GGGGGCGUUUUUGGAUUCGACGGGGAUUGUUUGAGCAUAGGUGGCGGGUCGUGGGGCUGCGAGGCCACGUAAAAAACGCGGACUUAAAUUAAACGCUAAAAACAACGUAGUUUCUUUCAAAUCCCGUAACGCGGGGCUUGCGUUAGCUGCCUAACAUCAGCUAAUCCGUUAUUAGCAUCAUCGCCCAUGUGGUGCUGGUAACGUCACUCUAGUGGGAUAGUCGAUGGUCUCUGCUCGUGGACCACCGAUGAAACUUGCGCGGGCUAGCCUGAAAGACAGCGUGUCAUGCCGCGGCCUGAUGGCGAAUCUCAAGUAGUAUGACUACACCCGUAGAAGCGUAUGUAGCAAGGUCUUCGGACAGGGGUUCGACUCCCCUCGCCUCCAA
rnacentral:tmRNA from 1 species